rnacentral:rRNA from 1 species
UUUAUGGAGAGUUUGAUCCUGGCUCAGAGUGAACGCUGGCGGCGUGCUUAACACAUGCAAGUCGAACGAGAAACGGUCUAGCUUGCUAGAUGCAGUCUAAGUGGCGCACGGGUGAGUAAUAUAUAGGUAAUAUGCCUCUUACUAAGGGAUAUUAAGAGAUUAGCCUGUAUUGUAUCAGUUAGUUGGUGGGGUAAUGGCCUACCAAGACUAUGACACAUAACUGGUUUGAGAGGAUGAUCAGUCACACUGGAACUGAGACACGGUCCAGACUCCUACGGGAGGCAGCAGUGGGGAAUAUUGCACAAUGGACGAAAGUCUGAUGCAGCAACGCCGCGUGGAGGAUGACACAUUUCGGUGCGUAAACUCCUUUUAUAUGAGAAGAUAAUGACGGUACUAUAUGAAUAAGCACCGGCUAACUCCGUGCCAGCAGCCGCGGUAAUACGGGGGUGCAAGCGUUACUCGGAAUCACUGGGCGUAAAGAGCAUGUAGGCGGAUUGAUAAGUUUGAAGUGAAAUCCUAUAGCUUAACUAUAGAACUGCUUUGAAAACUGUUAAUCUAGAAUGUGGGAGAGGUAGAUGGAAUUUCUGGUGUAGGGGUAAAAUCCGUAGAGAUCAGAAGGAAUACCGAUUGCGAAGGCGAUCUACUGGAACAUUAUUGACGCUGAGAUGCGAAAGCGUGGGGAGCAAACAGGAUUAGAUACCCUGGUAGUCCACGCCCUAAACGAUGUACACUAGUUGUUGUGAGACUUGAUCUUGCAGUAAUGCAGUUAACACAUUAAGUGUACCGCCUGGGGAGUACGGUCGCAAGAUUAAAACUCAAAGGAAUAGACGGGGACCCGCACAAGCGGUGGAGCAUGUGGUUUAAUUCGACGAUACACGAAGAACCUUACCUGGACUUGACAUAGUAAGAACUUUCUAGAGAUAGAUUGGUGUCUGCUUGCAGAAACUUAUAUACAGGUGCUGCACGGCUGUCGUCAGCUCGUGUCGUGAGAUGUUGGGUUAAGUCCCGCAACGAGCGCAACCCUCGUGUUUAGUUGCUAACAGUUCGGCUGAGAACUCUAAACAGACUGCCUACGCAAGUAGGAGGAAGGUGAGGACGACGUCAAGUCAUCAUGGCCCUUACGUCCAGGGCUACACACGUGCUACAAUGGGAUAUACAAAGAGCGGCAAUACGGUGACGUGGAGCAAAUCUUAUAAAAUAUCUCCCAGUUCGGAUUGUAGUCUGCAACUCGACUACAUGAAGUUGGAAUCGCUAGUAAUCGUAGAUCAGCUAUGCUACGGUGAAUACGUUCCCGGGUCUUGUACUCACCGCCCGUCACACCAUGGGAGUCGAACUCAUUCGAAGCGGGGAUGCUAAAAUAGCUACCUUCCACAGUGGAUUUGGCGACUGGGGUGAAGUCGUAACAAGGUAACCGUAGGAGAACCUGCGGUUGGAUCACCUCCUUU